CCAAUAGCGUAUAUUUAAGUUGUUGCAGUUAAAAAGCUCGUAGUUGGAUUUCGGGAUGGAGAAGUCGGUCUUCCCUUGUGGUCGAUACUGACUCUCUUCCUUAAUUGCCUUGGGCGUCGCCUAGUCUUAAUUGCCUGGGCGCGCUACACGGCGCCGUUACCUUGAAUAAAUUAUGGUGUUCAAAGCAGGCUUAAGCUCUGAGUACAUUAGCAUGGAAUAACAGUAUAGGACUCCGGUCCUAUUGCGUUGGUCUUCUGACCGGAGUAAUGAUUAAUAGGGACAGUCGGGGGCAUUCGUACUUCAUUGUUAGAGGUGAAAUUCUUGGAUCAAUGAAAGACGAACUUCUGCGAAAGCAUUUGCCAAGGAUGUUUUCAUUAAUCAAGAACGAAAGUUGGGGGCGCGAAGACGAUUAGAUACCGUCCUAGUCCCAACCGUAAACGAUGCCAACCCCGAAUUGGCGCACGUAAGACUUGACGUCGCCAGCGCCCGAGGAGAAAUCAGAGUCUUUGGGUUCCGGGGGGAGUAUGGUCGCAAGUCUGAAACUUAAAGGAAUUGACGGAAGGGCACCACCAGGUGUGGAGCGUGCGGCUUAAUUUGACUCAACGCGGGGAAUCUUACCAGGUCCAGACAUAGCGACGAUUGACAGACUGAUAGCUCUUUCUUGAUCAUAUGGGUAGUG
rnacentral:rRNA from 1 species